rfam:Vavraia culicis subsp. floridensis unplaced genomic scaffold supercont1.14, whole genome shotgun sequence.
GGUGUGAUGGCCGAGCGGUCUAAGGCGCUGGAAUUAGGCUCCAGUCUUCUCGAAGGCGGGGGUUCGAAUCCCCCUCACACUA